UUGUGUACAAAACCUGCAUUUUCUCUGCUACUCUUGCAAAAGUGAGCGCAGAAAUGAGACAAUGUUCUCUCAGGGCCAUGACAUAGUGCGAAAAGAUGUGUGGCGUAGAUGAAAAAUGCAACUUCCUGUUAAGAAAGGGCCUUAACGCCGAGUCGAGGAGGCGAGUGUCUCUCUGACUCCGCUCUUGUCUCUAGACCUGCAGACACGAGAUUGAGGGAUUUUUUUUUUUAGGUAAAAAUACACCGAUAACUGGACGCACUGAUUAGACGAACGAGAACACGACAUAUGGUGUCUUAGAAGAGACGUUUCAACCUUUGGCUAUGGCGAGAUUUUUCGGACUAGGGCCAUUGAUUUUGGUCCUAUGCAUGGCUUUGUGUGCACAUUUUGGUGACUCAGCCAACUCAACUGACCCCUCCGCUAAUUCCACUCAACCCAAUCUCAAUAACACAUCAUCACCCAAUGAAGGUA